AGCACACGGGUGAGUAAUACGUAGGAAUCUGCCUAUAGGAGGGGGAUAAGUAAUUAGGAAACUAAUAACAAAUACCGCAUACAACAAAGGUGAAAACCGCCUGUAGAUGAGCCUGCGGAGGAUUAGGUAGUUGGUGAGGUAAUAGCUCACCAAGCCGAUGAUCCUUAGCUGGUCUGAGAGGAUGAUCAGCCACACUGGGACUGAGACACGGCCCAGACUCCUACGGGAGGCAGCAGUGGGGAAUAUUGGACAAUGGACGAAAGUCUGAUCCAGCAAUAUCGCGUGGGUGAUGAAGGCCCUUUUGGUUGUAAAGCCCUUUUGUCGAGGAGGAUAAUGACCGUACUCGAAGAAAAAGUCCCGGCUAACUCCGUGCCAGCAGCCGCGGUAAUACGGGGGGGACUAGUGUUAUUCGGAAUGACUGGGCGUAAAGGGUGUGUAGGCGGUUUUAAAAGUUGAAAGUGAAAUCCCAAGGCUUAACCUUGGAAGUGCUUUCAAAACUGGAAAACUAGAGUAUCAAUUAGGAUGGUGGAAUUUCUUGUGUAGAAAUAAAAUGCAUAGAUAUAAGAAGGAACGCCAAAAGCGAAGGCAGCUAUCUGGUUGAAUUGACUGACGCUGAGACACGAAAGCAUGGGGAGCAAACAGGAUUAGAUACCCUGGUAGUCCAUGCUGUAAACUAUGAGUGCUAAACGUUGGACUUAAGAGUUCAGUGUUGAAGCUAACGCAUUAAGCACUCCGCCUGGGGAGUACGACCGCAAGGUUGAAACUCAAAGGAAUUGACGG
rnacentral:rRNA from 1 species